rnacentral:rRNA from 1 species
UUGACCCGNNNGAAUUAAGCAUAUUAUUAGGCGGAGGAAAAGAAACUAACAAGGAUUCCCUUAGUAACGGCGAGUGAACAGGGACGAGCCCAACACCGAAUCCCACGCCGUCUCGGCGUAGUGAACUGUGGUGUAUAGAAAGAUCUAUUCGGCCUUGCGGAACUCUCGAAGUCCCCAUGAGCGGGGCCAUUGCCCACAGCGGGUGCAAGGCCCAUACGAGAGAUCCCUUUGUCGAUGUGACCUUUCUUAGAGUCGGGUUGCUUGAGAGUGCAGCCCUAAUUCGUGGUAAACCCCACGAAAGGCUAAAUAUUAUCACGAGACCGAUAGCAAACAAGUACCGUGAGGGAAAGUUGCAAAGAACUUUGAAGAGAGAGUUUAAGAGGGCGUGAAACCGUUUAGAAGGAAACGGACGGAGCUGAAAAGUCGCCUGUCGGAUUCAAUAUGUUGAAGCUUGGCAACAAGUGGAGACGUAUGCAGUUUCGGCAGGUGAGCGUUGCGACCGAUUUUUCUACUGGCAAAGGUCCUUGGCAUGCCGGCUGGGUUCUCGGACCCAGUGUCCCUGUCUCGGUGCCUGUCCGGGUUAGAAAGAUCGUGAACCAGCCGUGCCCGACUGAUAGUCUCGAGGUGGACGCCCGAGUGUUGGAUAAACUGUUAGGUCCUGCUUGCAGAGCUUGACAACCUCCAACGUUUGCGGCGCUCUGGUACUCGAGUGGCACUGAUGGUCUGCAGCGUCCGCGUUGGCCACCCGUCCGACCCGUCUUGAAACACGGACCAAGGAGUCUAACAUGUGCGCAAGUCAUUGAACUGUAAAUUCAAAGGCGAAAUGAAAGUAAAAGUCAGUUUGGCUGGCUUAGGUGAGAUCCUUAGACUCCGGUCUGAGGCGCAUCACCGUCCCGUCCUGUGAGUAAUGUCUCAGGGGCGGAGAAAGAGCGUACACGUUGGGACCCGAAAGAUGGUGAACUUUGCUUGAGCAGGAUGAAGCCAGAGGAAACUCUGGUGGAGGUCCGCAGCGGUUCUGACGUGCAAAUCGAUCGUCAGACUUGAGUAAAGGGGCGAAAGACUAAUCGAACCAUCUAGUAGCUGGUUCCCUCCGAAGUUUCCCUCAGGAUAGCUGGUGCUCGGUUAACGCAGUUUUAUUCGGUAAAGCGAAUGAUUAGAGGUCUUGGGGACGAAACGUUCUCAACCUAUUCUCAAACUUUAAAUGGGUAAGAAGUCUGGCUUGCCUGAACGAAGCUCAGACAAUGAAUGCGAGUGCCCAGUGGGCCACUUUUGGUAAGCAGAACUGGCGCUGUGGGAUGAACCAAACGCUGAGUUAAGGCGCCCGACAUAGACGCUCAUGAGACCCCACAAAAGGUGUUGGUUGAUAUAGACAGCAGGACGGUGGCCAUGGAAGUCGGAAUCCGCUAAGGAAUGUGUAAAAACCCACCUGCCGAAUCAACUAGCCCUGAAAAUGGAUGGCGCUGGAGCGUCUGGCCCAUACUCGGCUGCUACGGACUGAAGCGUGCGUGCGCGUUCGCCAAGUCCUAGCAAGUAGGAGGGUCGCGGCGGUUGCGUUGAAGGUGUUCGGCGAGAGCCGACCUGGAGCAGCCGUCGGUGCAGAUCUUGGUGGUAGUAGCAAAUAUUCAAGUGAGAACCUUGAAGACUGAAGUGGAGAAGGGUUCCAUGUGAACAGCAGUUGCACAUGGGUCAGUCGAUCCUAAGGCAAAGGAAAGCUCCGUUGUGAAGCGGGCAGCUUGGUAUACUAAUGUAGGCGCAAGCUUGCAUUUGGCCGAAAGGGAAUCGCGUUAAUAUUCGCGAACCGGGACACGGAGAUAGGCACUUCCAAACGGGAGUGUCGAGCGCGGUAACGCAAACGAACUCGGAGACGUUUAUGCGAGCCCCGGGAAGAGUUCUCUUUUCUUCUUAAGGGACGGACUCCAUGGAAUCGGUUCACCCGGAGAUAUGGACGUUGUUCCCGCAAAACGCCACGGCUCUUGUGGCGUCCGGUGCGCUUGCAUAGGCCCUUGAAAAUCCGAGGGAGGCAAUUUGAUUUUCGUGCCCGAUCGUACCCAUAUCCGCAGCAGGUCUCCAAGGUGAACAGCCUCUAGUCGAUAGAAUAAUGUAGGUAAGGGAAGUCGGCAAAUUAGAUCCGUAACUUCGGGAAAAGGAUUGGCUCUAAGGGCUGGGCCGGUCGGGCUGACGCACGAAGUGGUCUGGGACCGUGUCGGGACUGGGCGAGGCACUCACGUGCCGAGCUCGGACCAGUACUGGGAUCUUCCCGUGGAAUGCAUCAGCUGUGCGGUCGUCGCUUGCGACGGUCCGCUUCGUCCGGCGAUGAACAGCUAACUUAGAACUGGCACGGACAAGGGGAAUCCGACUGUCUAAUUAAAACAAAGCAUUGCGAUAGCCGUCAGUCGGUACUGACGCAAUGUGAUUCUGCCCA